rnacentral:rRNA from 1 species
GAGAUGGAUUUGUGCCUUCGGGAACUGUGAGACAGGUGCUGCAUGGCUGUCGUCAGCUCGUGUUGUGAAAUGUUGGGUUAAGUCCCGCAACGAGCGCAACCCUUAUCCUUUGUUGCCAGCGGUUAGGCCGGGAACUCAAAGGAGACUGCCAGUGAUAAACUGGAGGAAGGUGGGGAUGACGUCAAGUCAUCAUGGCCCUUACGACCAGGGCUACACACGUGCUACAAUGGCGCAUACAAAGAGAAGCGACCUCGC